rnacentral:rRNA from 1 species
AUACCCGUUUGCAUGUACUUUAUGAAUAAGGAUCGGCUAACUCCGUGCCAGCAGCCGCGGUAAUACGGAGGAUCCGAGCGUUAUCCGGAUUUAUUGGGUUUAAAGGGAGCGUAGAUGGAUGUUUAAGUCAGUUGUGAAAGUUUGCGGCUCAACCGUAAAAUUGCAGUUGAUACUGGAUAUCUUGAGUGCAGUUGAGGCAGGCGGAAUUCGUGGUGUAGCGGUGAAAUGCUUAGAUAUCACGAAGAACUCCGAUUGCGAAGGCAGCCUGCUAAGCUGCAACUGACAUUGAGGCUCGAAAGUGUGGGUAUCAAACAGGAUUAGAUACCCUGGUAGUCCACACGGUAAACGAUGAAUACUCGCUGUUUGCGAUAUACAGCAAGCGGCCAAGCGAAAGCGUUAAGUAUUCCACCUGGGGAGUACGCCGGCAACGGUGAAACUCAAAGGAAUUGACGGGGGCCCGCACAAGCGGAGGAACAUGUGGUUUAAUUCGAUGAUACGCGAGGAACCUUACCCGGGCUUAAAUUGCAGAUGAAUUACGGUGAAAGCCGUAAGCCGCAAGGCAUCUGUGAAGGUGCUGCAUGGUUGUCGUCAGCUCGUGCCGUGAGGUGUCGGCUUAAGUGCCAUAACGAGCGCAACCCUUGUUGUCAGUUACUAACAGGUUCCGCUGAGGACUCUGACAAGACUGCCAUCGUAAGAUGUGAGGAAGGUGGGGAUGACGUCAAAUCAGCACGGCCCUUACGUCCGGGGCUACACACGUGUUACAAUGGGGGGUACAGAAGGCAGCUACACGGCGACGUGGUGCUAAUCCCUAAAGCCUCUCUCAGUUCGGAUUGGAGUCUGCAACCCGACUCCAUGAAGCUGGAUUCGCUAGUAAUCGCGCAUCAGCCACGGCGCGGUGAAUACGUUCCCGGGCCUUGUACACACCGCCCGUCAAGCCAUGGGAGCCGGGGGUACCUGAAGUGCGUAACCGCGAGGAGCGCCCUAGGGUAAAACUGGUGACUGGGGCUAAGUCGUAACAAGGUAGCCGUACCGGAAGGUGCGGCUG